CUCAGCUUGAAGCCUUCUAGCUUACACAGCAGGAGUUUUCUAGAAAUUUUGCCACUGGAUCGAAGUCUAAGACUAGAAGUAAAGAGGAAAUUCCUUUCACUUUAGUUUGAAGAAACAGAUGAGACUCUGGGCAAAGACUGCAAGCAAAGGAAGAACCAGUCACUUUACACAGAGCAUGGGAGUUUUGGCAUCACCAGUUAUCCUUUAGGCAUGGAAGAGCUUUCCAUCAUUUCUCCAAUGUCUAACUACCACUGUCGCUUCAAAAAAGCCU